rnacentral:rRNA from 1 species
GACGAACGCUGGCGGCGUGCUUAACACAUGCAAGUCGAACGGAAAGGCCCUGCUUUUGUGGGGUGCUCGAGUGGCGAACGGGUGAGUAACACGUGAGUAACCUGCCCUUGACUUUGGGAUAACUUCAGGAAACUGGGGCUAAUACCGGAUAGGAGCUCCUGCGCCAGGGUGGGGGUUGGAAAGUUUCGGCGGUUGGGGAUGGACUCGCGGCUUAUCAGCUUGUUGGUGGGGUAGUGGCUUACCAAGGCUUUGACGGGUAGCCGGCCUUGGAGGGGGACCGGCCACAUUGGGCCUGCGAUACGGCCCAGAAUCCUACGGGAGGCAGCAGUGGGGAAUAUUGCACAAUGGGCGGAAGCCUGAUGCAGCAACGCCGCGUGCGGAAUGACGGCCUUCGGGUUGUAAACCGCUUUCGCCUGUGACGAAGCGUGAGUGACGGUAAUGGGUAAAGAAGCACCGGCUAACUACGUG